CGCCCCCUCCGCCGCGUCACUUGUCCCUGGGGCGCGCGGCGAGCACCUACCACUGGUGGAGAAGCGCAGGGGAGAGCGAGUGGCUCUUCCCCGGCCCGCGGCCUUGCGCCGCUCUUGCGGGCGCCUGGGCCUGGCGCUAAAUUUAAAAACGUAACACAAGCGCCGGCUGGUCCCGGAAACGAAACCGAAUUCAACCCGCUGGCCAUCUCCCGGCUCGCCAGCCCCUCAGCGCGCCGCGCCACCCGGAAUAGACCCUCCACCCGCCAUUUCCGGCGGGGCGCGGGGACUGAGGCCUGUGGCAGCGGGGUGCGUUGCCGCGCGCGCGUCCUGGAGGAGGCGGGCGCCAUGGCCACGCGCGUGGACUGCGGGGACAGGGCUCGCGCUCAGCAGCACGUGUUCCUGGUUCCAGAAUAUUUAAAAGAUGCUUCAAAGAAGAUGAAAAGUGGCCUUAUGUUUGUAAAAUUGGCUAACCCUUGUUCAGGGGAAGGAGCCAUUUACUUGUUCAAUAUGUGUCUACAGCAGCUGUUUGAGAUCAGAGUUUUCAAGGAAAAGCAUCACUCUUGGUUUAUAAAUCAAUCAGUUCAAUCAGGAGGUCUCCUUCACUUUGCCACACCCAUGGAUCCCCUGUUUUUGCUCCUCCACUACCUCAUACAGGCCAACAAACAGGGAAAGUUUCAGCCCCUAGAUCAAGUGGUGGUGGAUGAUGUAUUUCCAAAUUGUGUCUUAUUGCUGAAACUUCCUGAGCUUGAGAAGGUUCUUCACCAUGUGACAGAGGAAAAAGAAAUAGGCAACAAGAAAUAUUACAAGUAUAGCAAAGAGAAGACAUUGAAGUGGCUGGAAAAAAAGGUUAAUCAAACUGUGGCAGCCUUAAAAACCAAUAAUGUCAACGUUAAUGCUCGGGUGCAGUCAUCUGCAUUUUUCUCUUGUGACCAGGUUUUGGACAGCAAAGAAGAGGAUUAUAUUCGUUAUGCCCAUGGUCUGGUAUCUGAUUACAUCCCUAAAGAAUUAAGUGGUGACUUAUCUAAAUAUUUAAAGCUUCCAGAACUUUCAGCUUCAUUGCCAAACCCUCCAUCAAAGAUGGCAGCACGAAGAGUGAAAAGGGGCAAGUGACCCAGUUCCACGCAAGGCUUGGCUGCUUCCUGUGCAACUUCAGACACCUCCAAGAGCCAGAACUUUGUCUUCCAUCUUUCUAGAAAACCACCAAGUGCCGAUAGGUGUAUUUUAAGGGGCCAAGGAUGAAACCUUUAUUUAUUUGAUCACUAAUAGGCAAUGGCAUUUCCCCUUGAGCUGGAGGUAUCCCCAUAGUGAAUCUGAGGAAUUUGAGCCACCUCGCCUCUGCCUAGGCCUAUCCCCCAUAAGAGUGUGGCUCUUUUCAGUACACUGCAUCAGAUAUCAAGAUGUCCAGAGGAAAAGGCUCUGUCACAGUAUUUUCUUAGGCUUGACCAUAUUGGCUUGUCCCACUAGGGUCAGAUCAGCGUGUUUUGAUAUGUCCGUGGUAACGGAAGCUCUGGAUUCUACACUGGGAGCACUAGCAAACCAAGUUUCAACCCUUGCUUUAAAUAUUUACCAAAAACCUGACCCUUCCUUACUCCUUAUCAACUUGGCAGCUUCUGGUUCAGAACAAUAUCUAAACAUGUGCAUUUUAUGAUGGCUUAGAGUUAUGGAGUCAUAAACAUUGCUUCAUUUUUAAAAGAUUUGUUUGGUAUGUGUAUUAUUAUGUUUUAAAGUGAGGGCAUAGGAUAUGAGAAGUAGAUGCCAAAAAGUAAUUUAGGAGAAAUUCUAGUGCCUAGUGAAUGAGUUUCAGGAGGAGGGGGUGGGGUGUGCAAACUUUUCCAGGGGUUCAAGCAGGCUCAUCCACUUGAUGUGCAGAAGGAGUGGGGUCACUGUGGUUCAGUUCAUCUUCCUGCAUUCUAAUGGAACCCCCAACCUCAUCUUUAGGAAAUAAUUCUUUUCUAAAUUUCUAACUCCAUCAAGUUAGCUGAACCUGGUUCUAGCAAGUAGUCUAUAAUUUUUUAAUGCCUCCUUUCAUAUGUCGAAAUUUUUGUUCACCUCAAGGAACUUAUAACAUUCCUUUGGUUCCACAGGUGAGAAGUGAAUCUUCCUCUCCAGAACCCCAGCUCUAGAAAGUCAAUGUAGAAUUCUAGAUAGACUACCGGCUUCUGGGAGGUGGUGCUCUAUGGAAAGAUCUGUUUGAAACCCAGGCCAUUUUGGAACUUCAUCUCAGGGACAGAAAGCCUGCUACCAUAGUGGCUGUCAGAUGCAGGUGGACCUCUGCCCUUAUCUCUCCUUCCUCUGGACAGACUUGCUGUUGGGAGACUUCUUGGUGGACUCCAUGGUCCCAGAGGCAUAAGGCUCCCCAGUUUGUGGAAGACUUCUUGUUACGCUUCUGUUUCUACUGCUGGCUUCACUUACCAACCAGGUGUUUGACCCUCUACUUCUCUGUCUUCCUCCUCUCUCCACAGUCUCUCAAUGUCUCCAUACACACACACCCCAAAGCCACUGGACACUGGCAAUGCCCAAGUGGUCACUAGAAGCCUUGCUCUCUUACUUGUGCCCCAAGUUCAUGUUCCAUUGGCCUCUGAACUUUUAAGAACUGCGAACACUUCACAUUCAACACCAUGAAAAUGACAAAAAUUCAUGUCAUUGUUUUUCAUUACAGAAGUAAUUCAUAAUUCAUUCCAACUGAAAGAGAAAGCAAAAGGGACCCCUACCUCUUAGUUACCCAAUUUCCACUGUCCAUUUUCUGUCCUUUUUCUAAGUAACAGUCCUAUAGUUACUGUUUCUGCAAUUCACUCCAUCAUUUUAUUUCAGAAUCAAAUUCUACUGAAUCGUUCCUUCAGAAAUGUCUCGUGGGAAAAUUAAAAUUAUAACAGAUCAACAGAUAUAAAACCCUAGCACUCUCAAGUCCUUUCCUCUCCACGCCCACUGCUUCCAAAAGGAAGGCUGUUCCAGCUGGAUGGCCAACUCACUUGAGUGCAGACACCAUAUGGCUUGGGUCUCAAAUAGAGUCGUGCCCACGGUGAUGAGCACACUGCAUGUGCCUCACUCUCAGUGCAUGAGUCACUGAUGGGCAGAUAAAGUCAGAUCCUCUUUCCCACCAACUUGCCAAGGACUUUUAAAAAGUAGUCGUGUUCAGAGCUAGAGAGGAAGUGGGAAAUGGGCACUGCUGGUGAGGAUAUAAAAAGGUACAACUUCUGGAUGCCAACUUGGAAAUAAAUAUCAGAAGUCCAGAGAUUCUGCUCCCCUGUGCCUCAGCAAUACCCACUGUUAGAAGUACAGUAUUAGGAAAAAUCAUAAAUGUGUGCAAAGAUUAGCUGCAAGAACAUUCAUUGUGGAACUGUUAAAAUAGCAAAUAAUUGGCAGGAAAAACCCUAAAAUUGGAGGACUUAGAAAAAUUGUAUUUAAAAUUCAUUACUGAAAAUACAAGCAACCUCCUCUCCCUUUGUCUCCCUUCUUCCCUUGCCCAUCCUUUCUCAAUUUUUCUUCCUUCUCUCUUUCUUUUCCUCCCUCUUUUAGGAAUUUUCUAUGAUAAACAUAUUACUAUUACAUUAAUAAAAAACAAUGUUAGAAUUCCACAUUGGUUAAUUAGUUCCUUAAAAUUAUUUCUCUCUUAAGAUUAUAAAAAAGGUUGUGCCUCAUUUAGCCAGUUUUUGGAGAAUCAUGGUACAUACAUUUCAUUAUUCUAUUCUUUAUAUUCAAGUGGGUGCUCAGUAAAUAAUAAAAUGAUGCUUAGCUACUAGUAAUCAAAUAGUGGUUCUUCUUCUAUCCCCAGAACUUCAAAGGUUUCAGAUACUUACUAUGUGAUUCCCUGACCCUUCCCCCUUAUCUAGUCAGAAAUAUAUGAUUUGUUUUUAAUGUCGUGUUUGGGACAUGAACAUGGAUGCUGAAAUCAAUUAAUUUUGCUUUGAAGUUCUCCUUAGAGCCCUAGAAAUAAUUGCAGAUGCUCUAGGGUAUAUCACCACCAGGCCUGAGAGUUACUAUUCUGGUCUGCAAAAUUGAGGAGAAGAAAAACAUACAACCAACUGAGGAGGGUACAAAACAGAAUGUUUUGCAUUUGCUCGUGUUCAGUGUUCAUAGUUUUUUCCUUAGCAGACAGUAACUAUUAGUCAACUUUCUGUUGCUGUGACAAAAUACCUGAGACAAGUACCUUAGAAGAAGGAAAUGUUUAUUUUGGUUUGUGGUUUCAGAGGUUUCAGUCCAUGGUCACUUGAGUCUUAUUGCUUUGGGACUGUGAUGGCACAGUACAUCAUGGUGGAGGUGUGAGGCAGAGGAAGCCUGCUCAUCAAAGAGAAAGAUGGGAAGGAACUUGAAGGGCACAGCCACCAAUGAGCUAACUUCCUUCCACGAGGCCCCACCUCCUAAAGGUUCAAUCACCUCCCAAUAGCACCACAGGCUUGUGGCCAAGCCACUAAUACAUGGGUCUUGGGGGGCAUUCCAGACCCAAACCAUAACAUUAGCCAAAAUGCUCGACUUCACAGCAAGAACUUUAGAGAUUGGAUUCCUGAGUGCUAGCACUUGGUUUCUCAAAAGAGGUUUAUAGGGAUGAGUCAAGAUGGAGUAUUAAUGGUUUCAAAGUUGUCUAGGCCACUUCUAGAAAUACAUAAAAUUACAGGAUCCUAACUUAGUGUCACAUUUCACCCUCAGCUUUUUCAUGAUCUGACAGUUCAAUGAAGGAGAUUAUAAAACUUUAAUACUGUUGAGGCAUUUUUGGGAGAGUGAGACGCAUUUUUCUUUGUGUCAUUAUUGCCAAGAAGCUAGGUAGCAGUAAGUGUCCUGUGAAAAGGAAAAGGGGCUGUGGCAGAGUUGGUGAGCUGUGCUAAAUUCAAUAAAUUUCUUUCCUGAUUGACUUUGGAGCACAAAUCUGAACAGACACUGUAAAAGCCCUUAGACAUGCCCGCUCUUUUCAGUCUCCCAAAAAUGUUUUACCACUGAAUCCUUUUCCCAUAAAGUGACUUGAUAAACUGAUGUUCUGUACCAUUUGGGAACCUACCUGCCACCUUCCUUGUGAUAUCACAAUAUCUAGGAUAGCUUUUUAUUAACAGCACAACCCAGGACAAACCAGUCUGUCAUUGCAUCCUUGACCUCUCCUUCCUGGGCCUAUGGGAGACUCGUUCUGUUUGUAGGUCUAACGGUUAGAUUAGUGUUUAUCUCCCAGGUCACAGAGCUUUGUCGGGCAGGGUCCGUUUUAGUGUUCUUUCAUGCAGAAGGGAUCAUCAUGGCAGACCUGCGAUGGUGUCCUUAGAAAGGUCUGCUUGCAAAGUUGAUCUUCAGCUGGCAUCUGGUAAACAGGUCCUCACAAUGAAUGAAAUACUGAUAAGAUCAGAGUGACUCUCUGUACCAUCCUGCUGGGAUAAGCAGCAUGGUUUAUGCUGAACACCUGCUUUCCUCCUGGUGCUCUAAAAUUUUGAUUCAAGGUGAACAGAGAGUGCCUACACCAGUAACCCCCAAAAUGGCCUUAGGCAUGGAGUCUCUAAUGGGCUUCCCUGGGCAGAGGCAUCACAGGCAUGACCCUGAAUUGUCACUCACCUACAGGCACUCUGCCUGGCCCCUGUUGGGAGGGAGAGAGCAUAAGGAAGCCUGUGCGUGGACUUCCCCAGUCCUUUUCCCUUCUGGUAGGGCUAUGCACCCUCCCUGCACCACUGUAAAUAAUCUUACCUGUGAACAUAACUUUAUAUUGCAACUCCUCAUAGCAAAUAUUCAACCAGGGGAGUGUCUCGAGGACCCUUCACAUACCAUGUGUCCCCACAACCACGCCCAGCAUUCGACAUUUAAUAAGUGGCUUACCACAUACUUUCUGAAAUGGAAAUGGAAAUGACUCAGAGAUCCAGUACUAAAUAAGUCCUCUGAAAAUUCACAAACAAACCAAGAAACACUAUAAUGUAUCCACGACAUCCUGAGGACCCAAAUAGAGAAUGUGCACCCUUCUAGAAAGAGUGGAAUAAAAAAUGACUUCUGAAAAUUCAGCUCAGGCAAAGCCUUUCUCAUGAAGAUGGAUGUUCUGUAUUUGAAGUGGUAGUGGGUAGAGCAGAGCUGGGGGCUUCGCUGGCCUGGAGGCUGUCUCCCCAGCUUGCUGUCAUCUCCCUCCACACCAUGUGUUGGCACUGUUGGUUCAUUUGGCCAAGAGUAUGGGUGAUGAGGUCAGAGAGAGCAGGGGCUUGUCGACAUGGCUGCACAUUGAGAAGGGUCUGGAAAGCUGGAGGGAAUCCUAAUGCCCCUCCAUGUGCCGCCAUCUUUGGUCUGAAGUGCGGGGCAGGCACUGGGAUGAUCAUUUGCAUUCCCUCCAGAUACUCCCACCCUGUCCCUUCCUCCCUGAUCCCACCUUUGACAAUCAGACUUCAUGAGGUGAGGUCCACACUUCCCCCAAAGCCAGUUUAUUCUUAUGGUCUAAACACUUCAUAAAAUUUCAGUUUUCUAAUUUCCUAGUGUUACGGUUUGGAUAUGAGGUGUCACCCCAGAGAGCUCAUGUGUUAAUGCAGGCAUGUUCAGAGCUGAGAUGGGUAGAUGGUGAGAGUUGUAACCUAAUCUGUGAAUUAGUCCAGUGGAUGCAUUAAUAAAUCAAGAGUACUACUGUGCUGAGUGGUAACUGUAGGCAGGUGGGCAUGGGAGUGUGCCCUUGGAGAUUAUGUAUGCUCCUCAUGCGCGCUCUCUCUCUCUCUCUCU